rnacentral:rRNA from 1 species
GGCUGUUCGCCAUUUAAAGUGGUACGCGAGCUGGGUUUAGAACGUCGUGAGACAGUUCGGUCCCUAUCUGCCGUGGGCGCUGGAGAACUGAGGGGGGCUGCUCCUAGUACGAGAGGACCGGAGUGGACGCAUCACUGGUGUUCGGGUUGUCAUGCCAAUGGCACUGCCCGGUAGCUAAAUGCGGAAGAGAUAAGUGCUGAAAGCAUCUAAGCACGAAACUUGCCCCGAGAUGAGUUCUCCCUGAGACUUAAAGUCUCCUGAAGGAACGUUGAAGACGACGACGUUGAUAGGCCGGGUGUGUAAGCGCAGCGAUGCGUUGAGCUAACCGGUACUAAUGAACCGUGAGGCUUAACCUUACAACGCCGAAG